GACGAACGCUGGCGGCGUGCCUAACACAUGCAAGUCGAACGAAGCUUGAAGAUUGAUUCUUCGGAUGAAAUCUGAUAUGACUGAGUGGCGGACGGGUGAGUAACGCGUGAGCAACCUGCCCUUCGGAGGGGGAUAGUGUCUGGAAACGGACAGUAAUACCGCAUAACGUAUUUUUACCGCAUGAUAGAAAUACCAAAACUGAGGUGCCGAAGGAUGGGCUCGCGUUGGAUUAGAUAGUUGGUGGGGUAACGGCCUACCAAGUCGACGAUCCAUAGCCGGACUGAGAGGUUGAACGGCCACAUUGGGACUGAGACACGGCCCAGACUCCUACGGGAGGCAGCAGUGGGGAAUAUUGCACAAUGGGGGAAACCCUGAUGCAGCAACGCCGCGUGAAGGAAGACGGUUUUCGGAUUGUAAACUUCUGUUCUUAGUGAAGAAUAAUGACGGUAGCUAAGGAGCAAGCCACGGCUAACUACGUGCCAGCAGCCGCGGUAAUACGUAGGUGGCAAGCGUUGUCCGGAAUUACUGGGUGUAAAGGGAGCGCAGGCGGGAGACCAAGUCAGCUGUGAAAACUACGGGCUUAACCUGUAGACUGCAGUUGAAACUGGUUUUCUUGAGUGAAGUAGAGGUUGGCGGAAUUCCGAGUGUAGCGGUGAAAUGCGUAGAUAUUCGGAGGAACACCGGUGGCGAAGGCGGCCAACUGGGCUUUAACUGACGCUGAGGCUCGAAAGUGUGGGGAGCAAACAGG
rnacentral:rRNA from 1 species